UGGAGGAGGACGCCGAAGGUGGGGCUAAUGACUGGGGUGAAGUCGUAACAAGGUAGCCGUACCGGAAGGUGCGGCUGGAUCACCUCCUAACAGGGAGACAACAAAAUGUAAAUAUUAAUUUUGUCACCUUAGGUCGAUCGGUAUCUCAGAUUUUUAAUUUUUUAAAAAUUUCAGUUUCUAAGUUUUUUCUAGGUCACACCCAUCACUUUUUCCUGGGCCAUUAGCUCAGGUGGUUAGAGCGCACCCCUGAUAAGGGUGAGGUCCCUGGUUCAAGUCCAGGAUGGCCCAUAUCUCUAUGUUGGGGGUAUAGCUCAGUUGGUAGAGCGCCUGCUUUGCAAGCAGGAUGUCAGCGGUUCGAGUCCGCUUACCUCCACUGAAUACCACCUCCUACUUAUUAAUAAAGAAGGAAAUUGUUUUGAAUCGUGUCCUUUUGCUCUGAGCGAAUCUAGCUUCCUAUUGUUUUUACAAAUAAGAUGCUGGACUCAUUGAAUUUUCAUUCAUUGUUUUCAGAGAACCUUGACAACUGCAUAGAUUAUUUUUGAAGACAAUAAGCAUCUUUAAUGAUGCAGAUUUAUUAUUUGUGCGAAUGCAUUAAAUAACAAUUCUAUUAAGCUGAUGCUUCAAUUUUUGAAGUUAUUGGUCAAGCUACAAAGGGCUCACGGAGGAUACCU
rnacentral:misc_RNA from 1 species